rnacentral:rRNA from 1 species
GACGAACGCUGGCGGCGUGCCUAAUACAUGCAAGUAGAGCGCACAGUUUAUACCGUAGCUUGCUACACCAUAGACUGUGAGUUGCGAACGGGUGAGUAACGCGUAGGUAACCUGCCUGGUAGCGGGGGAUAACUAUUGGAAACGAUAGCUAAUACCGCAUAAUAUUAAUUAUUGCAUGAUAAUUAAUUGAAAGGUGCAAUUGCACCACUACCAGAUGGACCUGCGUUGUAUUAGCUAGUAGGUGAGGUAACGGCUCACCUGGGCGACGAUACAUAGCCGACCUGAGAGGGUGAUCGGCCACACUGGGACGGGAACACGGCCCAGACUCCUACGGGAGGCAGCAGUAGGGAAUCUUCGGCAAUGGACGAAAGUCUGACCGAGCAACGCCGCGUGAGUGAAGAAGGUUUUCGGAUCGUAAAGCUCUGUUGUAAGAGAAGAACGGGUGUGAGAGUGGAAAGUUCACACUGUGACGGUAUCUUACCAGAAAGGGACGGCUAACUACGUG